rnacentral:rRNA from 1 species
AUGAACGCUGGCGGCGUGCCUAAUACAUGCAAGUCGAGCGAACAGACGAGGAGCUUGCUCCUCUGACGUUAGCGGCGGACGGGUGAGUAACACGUGGAUAACCUACCUAUAAGACUGGGAUAACUUCGGGAAACCGGAGCUAAUACCGGAUAAUAUAUUGAACCGCAUGGUUCAAUAGUGAAAGACGGUUUUGCUGUCACUUAUAGAUGGAUCCGCGCCGCAUUAGCUAGUUGGUAAGGUAACGGCUUACCAAGGCGAAGAUGCGUAGCCGACCUGAGAGGGUGAUCGGCCACACUGGAACUGAGACACGGUCCAGACUCCUACGGGAGGCAGCAGUAGGGAAUCUUCCGCAAUGGGCGAAAGCCUGACGGAGCAACGCCGCGUGAGUGAUGAAGGUCUUCGGAUCGUAAAACUCUGUUAUUAGGGAAGAACAAAUGUGUAAGUAACUAUGCACGUCUUGACGGUACCUAAUCAGAAAGCCACGGCUAACUACGUG